CCAAGAAGUUGGCUACUUUUCAAACAGCGAAUCGCUAUUCGCUACUUUUUAAAAUUGUUAGUAACUUGAUAGAAUAGCAUGAUAUUGAGACACGGUCUGCUUAAAAUCAAUACUCAAUUUGCACGCCUGAACACUGUAGUGCUUUCAAAAAUGUUGCUUUGUGUUUACUGUUGUUACUCGUAAAUCGAUUUGUUAUAGGUUACAUUCCAGCNNNNNNNNNNNNNNNNNNNNAACACGCGGGAAUGUUGCGAGAGUUAAAAAAGCGCGCGAACACGAGCCGAAGGCGAGUGAUUUUGCGCGCUUUUCUUAACUCGAGCAAUAUUCCCAAGUGUUUGGAUCAGGCCAUCCAAACACGGAAACCAUAAAGUAAUUGUUUUAUAAAAUAACAACAACACGAUAGUCUU
rnacentral:lncRNA from 1 species